GUGCCCUUCCCAGGUAGAAAGAGCAUUUCGGGAGAGCAGGCAGGAGAUGAGGCAGGGCUGCCGGCAGGAGAGGUGACAGGUAGCUGUGGGGAUCCAGCACGUGCGGGGUGGGGGGGGAGGCACCAGGCCCCGGGUCGGACAGGAUGAGGUGGGGACUCAGGACGCAGCAGGGGUCCCCAGCCGCCACCACAUCUCACCCACUGAAAUUCAUUUAGUAGCAGGUACAGGAGCGGCUCUGGCCAGGCCAGAGCUUCGAGGGCUGGGGAGCGGGAAAGAAGGGGCAGUGCGCGGGGUGUCCCGCAACAGGACGUCACCGGAGGGAGCGGCGGCCGCAGGUACCGGCUCCGGAGAGAUUUCUGCAGCGAGGAGGCUGCUGCGGGCCCAGCCUGCGGACGCGCCGUUCCCACGUGGCACUGCGGCCCAGGGUCUGGCGCGGAGAGGGCCCACAGCGUACUUGGUGACACUGUAUGCCUUCACCGCUCAGCCCCCGGGUCUGGCAUGACAGACAGGACAGCACCAGGGGAGUCAAGGGCACUGGCGAGACCCGACUAGGCGAGGCGGGUGGGGUGGAGUGAAUGAGAACUCUGGUGGGGGGCCGGGGCGCAGGCAGGGGCGAAGGGCGGGAGCCUGGCGGCGAGUCCGCCGGGGCGCUGGCCUCCAGAGCCCGUGGCCGAGGUGGGCCUCCGCGGGCGACGACGGAGCAGGGAUCGGUGCCUCUGGACUCGGGACUGGAGACGAGGGUGAGUGCCCGCUGGCGUGCCCGACACCCCACCGUCCCCCCGCCCGCCCACCGCCUCUGCCUGCGGCUCAGCUGGCACCCCCUCCCCUCGCCCGCAGCCAGGUCUCCAGAUCGGGUGACGUGCUGCUGGCCUCCGAAGGCCGGGCGCGAGGCUGCGCUCAGAGAGGCAUGACAUGGUCCGGUGCGACGGCGAGGACAGACGUGACGCCGCCCGGCCUUCCUGGUGAGCGCGGCUGUGAGGCUUGGCCCCCGCAGGCCGACCCACCCGCAGGGCGUCACCCCUGAGCGCUCUUGCUUCCCUAGACCAUUCUAGGCUGGCGCCGCGGGGACCCGGAACACCCAAGGGCUCGUUCCUCUGCGCUCCUGAAGGAGCCGACACAUGACUGCUGCUCUCUGGACCCCUAGAACCCUCAAAACGACAAGGUGAGGAGUCCCCGGCCAGCCGCGGGCAGCGGGCGCGGGCCAAGGAGCAGGGAACUCACCGUGUCCUGCCCCGCAGAAAUGGUGCUACCCAGCUCACGCCUGGGCCUUGGAACUGGGACUUCUUCAAGUCCCCUCUAGCUCUGACUCAAGAAUAUGCUGCAUUCUGGAACCACUACACUCCUUGACUCAGGAAUCGGCUCUGGAAGGUGAGUGCGGGCACCCUUCCGGAAGCUUCCGGGGCCGCCCUGCCCGGUCCCCGCUCACACGUCCUGUCGCUCUCUGCAGGUCAAGCUACAGGAACGAGACCAGCCCGACAGCAAGACCGUCGGAAGCGAGCAGCACCCGCGGCGGCCGCCACCCCGCCUGGCGCCUCCGUCUCCGUGGCCACCCUGCCGUGGACAGGCGACCACCAACCAGCCUCCACGCCCCCACGCCCCUCACCCUCCUUCUCUUCUUCCUUUCCUCUGUGCUUUCAUUUCCUUUCUUUCCUUUCCCCUUUGCUCGGGACUCAAAGCCACCGUGACUCCGUUUCCCCGUCCCUCCCGAAUUCAAUUUGCACUAAGUCGUUUGCACUGGUUUGGAGUUCUGGGUCUGGCCUCGAGUCCCCGAGCGCGUGUGCAAGCAAGAUGCUGAGUGCCCGCGCCGUGCCCAGCGCCCACCUGCCGUCCAUCUCUGCCUGGGGGUGCCUGGGUGCGUCCGAGUGUGUGGGGCCCCACCCUCCCCUUGCCUAGUCUGGGAGCUCCAAACACCGAGCAAACCUUGAAGCAUUCCGUUGUAGAGCAGCUCGCUCUGUGCCCCUCCCCGCCAGGGUUUCACCAGAAGCCCUGGACUCAUCAAUAAACUCAGUUACAGCAA
rnacentral:lncRNA from 1 species